rnacentral:rRNA from 1 species
CAGCACGGGUGCUUGCACCUGGUGGCGAGUGGCGAACGGGUGAGUAAUAUAUCGGAACGUACCCGGCAAUGGGGGAUAGCUCGGCGAAAGCCGGAUUAAUACCGCAUAUGCCCUGAGGGGGAAAGUGGGGGACCGUAAGGCCUCACGUUGUCGGAGCGGCCGAUAUCAGAUUAGCUAGUUGGUGGGGUAAAGGCCUACCAAGGCGACGAUCUGUAGCGGGUCUGAGAGGAUGAUCCGCCACACUGGGACUGAGACACGGCCCAGACUCCUACGGGAGGCAGCAGUGGGGAAUUUUGGACAAUGGGGGCAACCCUGAUCCAGCCAUUCCGCGUGAGUGAAGAAGGCCUUCGGGUUGUAAAGCUCUUUCGGCAGGAACGAAACGGCGAGCUCUAACAUAGCUCGCUAAUGACGGUACCUGAAGA